ensembl:lncRNA
GGAGAGGUGGAAGGUUGAUGUUGUCCUGGAGGAGAGGUGGAAGGUUGAUGUUGUCAUGGAGGAGAGGAGGAAGGUUAAUGUUGUACUGGAGGAGGGGAGGAAGGUUGAUGCUGUACUGUACUCCUGGAGGAGAGGUGGAAGGUUGAUGUUGUCCUGGAGGAAAGGUGGAAGGUUGAUGUUGUCCUGGAGGAGAGGAGGAAGGUUGAUGUUGUACUGUACUCCUGAAGGAGAGGUGGAAAUUUGAUGUUGUACUGUACUCCUGGGGGAGAGGUGGAAGGUUGAUGUUGUCCUGGGGGAGAGGUGGAAGCUUGAUGUUGUCUUGGGGGAGAGGUGGAAGGUUGAUGUUGUCCUGGGGGAGAGGUGGAAGGUUG